rnacentral:pre_miRNA from 14 species
GCAGGGGACUGAGUGGCAGCAAGAAAAAUGAGGGACUUUCAGGGGCAGCUGUGUUUUACUAACCCAGUCAUAAUGCCCCUAAAAAUCCUUAUUGUUCUUGCAAUGUUCAACUGUAACCUGCA